AUGGAGCCCUCCCCGUCCUACGCGCUGCACCUGGCCGUCGCGGCGCUCGUCGGNNNNNNNNNCGCCGCCGCGUCCGCCUACUACAUGCACCGCAAGACCCUCGACCAGCUGCUCCGCUUCGCCCGCUCCCUCGACCGCGACCACCGCCGCCGCGCCCGCCUCCUCCCCGACGGCGCCGAGGACAGCGACCCCGACCGGGAGGACGUGGAGGAGGAGGAAUACGGCGGCGGCCCUCCCCCGCACCGGGACCACGAUCGCCGCACCCUCCCCAUCCCGCCGGGGCUCCCGCCGCUCCACACCGGCCGAGAGGGCAAGCCCACUAUAUCUCCAGCUGCAAACAAAAGAGUUGGGUCUCUGGUUAGGCCAACGACACCGAAAUCCUCUGUUCCUGCAGUCAGCACAUUUGAGAGCAUCGAAGAUUCAGAUGAGGAUGUUGAUCUUGAGCCGGAUUCCAAAAAUGAAGAUGCUGUUUACGUUGGCACGAAUGGGGCUAUUGGAUCAGACCCGGUUCCUGUUAAAGCGGAUCAGAAUGGGGACAUACCAUCAACGAGCAUGAUUAGAUCUCACAGUGCAACUGGCAAUCUCCAUGGGAUCCAGCUAAAUCCAGUAGCAGCUGAUAUACUUCGAAAGGAACCUGAGCAUGAAACUUUCAGUAGGAUCAAUAUUACAGCUGUUGAAACUCCUUCUCAUGAUGAAAUUGAAGCGUACAAAGUUCUUCAAAAAUGUCUUGAGCUACGAGAGAAGUACAUCUUCAGAGAAGAAGUUGCUCCAUGGGAGAAGGAAAUAAUAACUGAUCCUAGUACCCCCAAACCUAACCCAAACCCGUUCAACUAUGAACAUCAGACCAAAACUGAACAUCACUUUGAAAUGGUUGAUGGUGUUGUUCAUCUGUACCCCAGUAAAGAUUCUAAAGAAAGACUGUAUCCUGUUGCUGAUGCUACCACCUUCUUUACUGAUAUGCAUUAUAUCCUUCGUGUAUUGGCGGCUGGGGAUAUCCGAACCGUCUGUCAUCACCGUUUAAAUCUUCUAGAGCAAAAAUUUAAUCUUCAUUUGAUGGUCAAUGCCGAUAGAGAGCUGCUUGCCCAGAAAGCUGCACCACACAGGGACUUCUACAAUGUCAGGAAGGUUGAUACUCAUGUUCAUCACUCUGCAUGCAUGAACCAGAAGCAUCUUUUGAGGUUUAUUAAGUCAAAAUUGAAGAAAGAACCAGAUGAGGUUGUGAUUUUUAGAGAUGGGACCUAUUUGACUCUUAAGGAGGUGUUCGAGAGUUUGGACUUGACUGGGUAUGACCUCAAUGUUGAUCUCUUGGACGUGCAUGCUGAUAAGAGUACAUUUCACCGUUUUGACAAGUUCAAUCUGAAAUAUAAUCCAUGUGGCCAGUCUCGCCUCAGGGAGAUCUUUCUUAAGCAGGACAACCUUAUUCAAGGUCGCUUCCUCGCUGAAUUAACUAAAGAAGUGUUUGCUGACCUUGAAGCAAGCAAAUAUCAGAUGGCUGAGUAUCGAAUAUCUAUUUAUGGGAGAAAGAAAAGUGAGUGGGAUCAGAUGGCAAGUUGGAUAGUGAAUAACGAAUUGUACAGCGAGAAUGUUGUUUGGUUAAUCCAGAUUCCUCGGAUUUACAAUGUAUACAGGGAGAUGGGCACGAUUAAUUCAUUCCAGAACCUCCUUGACAACAUUUUUCUUCCACUUUUUGAAGUAACUGUUGAUCCUUCUUCACAUCCUCAGCUGCACGUUUUCUUAGAACAGGUUGUUGGUUUAGAUUUGGUGGAUGAUGAAAGCAAACCAGAAAGGCGCCCAACAAAACACAUGCCGACUCCUGAGCAAUGGACUAAUGUUUUCAAUCCAGCGUAUGCAUAUUAUGUAUACUAUUGCUAUGCUAACCUCUACACACUGAACAAGCUUCGUGACUCCAAGGGCAUGACAACAAUCAAACUUCGUCCACACUGUGGAGAGGCUGGCGAUAUUGAUCAUCUUGCUGCAGCAUUUCUCACUUCUCACAAUAUUGCUCACGGGGUGAAUCUAAAGAAGUCCCCUGUCCUCCAGUACUUGUAUUAUCUUGCUCAGAUUGGUCUUGCAAUGUCUCCUUUGAGCAACAACUCGUUGUUUAUUGACUACCACAGGAACCCGUUCCCAACAUUUUUCUUAAGAGGCCUGAAUGUUUCUCUCUCAACUGACGACCCUUUACAAAUUCACCUAACAAAAGAACCUUUGGUUGAAGAAUACAGUGUUGCUGCUUCGCUGUGGAAGCUUAGCUCUUGUGACUUGUGUGAAAUAGCCAGGAAUUCUGUGUACCAGUCUGGUUUCUCUCAUAGGCUGAAGUCACACUGGAUUGGUAGAAACUACUAUAAAAGAGGUCCCGACGGCAAUGACAUCCACCAGACAAAUGUUCCUCACAUUAGGAUUGAAUUCCGACACAACAUUUGGAAAGACGAGAUGGAGCUGAUACAUUUUGGAAAUGUUAAGCUACCAGAAGAAACUGAUAGAUGA
rnacentral:rRNA from 1 species